CUCCUUUGACGUUAGCGGCGGACGGGUGAGUAACACGUGGGUAACCUACCUAUAAGACUGGGAUAACUUCGGGAAACCGGAGCUAAUACCGGAUAAUAUUUCGAACCGCAUGGUUCGAUAGUGAAAGAUGGUUUUGCUAUAACUUAUAGAUGGACCCGCGCCGUAUUAGCUAGUUGGUAAGGUAACGGCUUACCAAGGCGACGAUACGUAGCCGACCUGAGAGGGUGAUCGGCCACACUGGAACUGAGACACGGUCCAGACUCCUACGGGAGGCAGCAGCG
rnacentral:rRNA from 1 species